AACAAACGCUGGCGGCAUGCCUAACACAUGCAAGUCGAACGAGACCUUCGGGUCUAGUGGCGCACGGGUGCGUAACGCGUGGGAACCUGCCCUUAGGUUCGGAAUAACUCCCCGAAAGGGGUGCUAAUACCGGAUAAUGUCUUCGGACCAAAGAUUUAUCGCCUUUGGAUGGGCCCGCGUUGGAUUAGCUAGUUGGUAGGGUAAAAGCCUACCAAGGCGACGAUCCAUAGCUGGUCUGAGAGGAUGAUCAGCCACACUGGGACUGAGACACGGCCCAGACUCCUACGGGAGGCAGCAGUGGGGAAUAUUGGACAAUGGGCGAAAGCCUGAUCCAGCAAUGCCGCGUGAGUGAUGAAGGCCUUAGGGUUGUAAAGCUCUUUUACCCGGGAUGAUAAUGACAGUACCGGGAGAAUAAGCUCCGGCUAACUCCGU
rnacentral:rRNA from 1 species